UACGUAGGUGGCAAGCGUUAUCCGGAAUUAUUGGGCGUAAAGCGCGCGCAGGUGGUUUCUUAAGUCUGAUGUGAAAGCCCCCGGCUCAACCGGGGAGGGUCAUUGGAAACUGGAGAACUUGAGUGCAGAAGAGGAGAGUGGAAUUCCACGUGUAGCGGUGAAAUGCGUAGAUAUGUGGAGGAACACCAGUGGCGAAGGCGACUCUCUGGUCUGUAACUGACGCUGAGGCUCGAAAGCGUGGGGAGCAAACAGG
rnacentral:rRNA from 1 species